rnacentral:tRNA from 1 species
GAGCGGAUACGUCUAAUUGGUAAGGCAGCCGACUGUAAAUCGGUCAGGAUAUUCUCCUACUGCAGGUUCAAGUCCUGCUCUUCUCA